rnacentral:sRNA from 2 species
GAUCUUCUUUCUCUUUCUUUCCUUAAUCAAUUCAUAAACUGUUAUCAGAAUAGUGUCAAGUCCAUUGAUAUUGC